CGACAGAGACGUGAUGGAGAUCACCUCCCCUGGGUUCUGGGCUACAUGCAUCUGAUGAAGCUGUCAACCAUGAGUUGCUGAAGACCUCCCAGAGCCAUCGUUCUGGCAGAGACCAAAGGUUCAAAGCAGCAUCCACUGCUCCAGAGCCUGAAGACCUCACCACCCAUAAACACCAGGAAGAACAAAGGGCUGCCCGCAGGGAGUUGAUGGGUGGCACAAAAGCUCCUCAAUGCAGGGAUUUUGCCAUCUCCAGAACACAUCUCCAACAGCGUGUCGUCAGACCUUACAGACAUAAAUGCCUACAGCACAUCAGAGAGCCCCAGUCACCCCAUCCAAUGGGAGCACUGAUGUGCACACGUGGGAAGCGCAGCCAU
rnacentral:lncRNA from 1 species